AGCUUAGUUGGUUAAAGCGCCGGUCUAGCGAAUACGGAGUAGUGGGUUCAAAUCCCAC
rnacentral:tRNA from 1 species